UACGUAGGGUCCGAGCGUUGUCCGGAAUUACUGGGCGUAAAGAGCUCGUAGGUGGUUUGUCGCGUUGUUCGUGAAAACUCACAGCUCAACUGUGGGCGUGCGGGCGAUACGGGCAGACUAGAGUACUGCAGGGGAGACUGGAAUUCCUGGUGUAGCGGUGGAAUGCGCAGAUAUCUGGAGGAACACCGGUGGCGAAGGCGACGUCCUGGACCGGCAUUGACGCUGAGGCGCGAAAGCCAGGGGAGCAAAGCGGG
rnacentral:rRNA from 1 species